CCAAUAGCGUAUAUUAAAGUUGUUGCAGUUAAAAAGCUCGUAGUUGAAUUUCGGGGUUCCACCGUUGGUCGGGCUAUUGUUUGUACUGGCGUGUGGAAUUUCUACCUUCUGGGGAACUAUCAUGUUAUUAAUUUAGCGUGGUAGGAAACCAGGACCUUUACCUUGAAAAAAUUAGAGUGUUCAAAGCAGGCUUAUGUCUGAAUACAUUAGCAUGGAAUAAUAAAAUAGGACGGUGGUCCUGUUUUGUUGGUUUCUGAAUCACCGUAAUGAUUAAUAGGGAUAGUCGGGGGCAUUAGUAUUCAAUUGUCAGAGGUGAAAUUCUUGGAUUUAUUGAAGACUAACUACUGCGAAAGCAUUUGCCAAGGAUGUUUUCAUUAAUCAAGAACGAAAGUUAGGGGAUCGAAGACGAUCAGAUACCGUCGUAGUCUUAACCAUAAACUAUGCCGACUAGGGAUCGGACGAUGUUAACUUUUCUUGACUCGUUCGGCGCCUUACG
rnacentral:rRNA from 1 species